rnacentral:lncRNA from 1 species
GGUGCCAGAUGCCAAUUUCUACUUGAUUGAUGCGCUGAGUAGGUCCUAAUCUCAUUUCCGUUGCUCUUCAGUAACCUAGAUUUGCAUUUCCGCUUAUGUAAUCUCACUAUGUACUAAGAUAAGCUUAUCUUCAUGGUUACAGGGCUGCGAUUAUUAUUCACUAUCAAGGCAAGUUUGUCUGACCUCUAUGCAGUAAUCUUUUUUAAGUUAUAAGUAAGCUCUCAACUCACUUCAGGUGAUUAUAUGAUUUCGCGAAAUGGGAUAUUCAAUCAGAGGCACAAUGCUCUGCUAUUCAAGCAUGGGUUUCUGUCAUGUGUGUCUUUUUUAGAAGCAAUUUAAGAUUCUGUGGUUGAUAAAGGUUGAAUGCAUUCCUUGCAAUUGAGAUGUGGUUGAAAAUUUCUCUGAGAUACUGGAUUUUGAUAGAAUGAUGCCGCUAACUCAAUUUUGAUAAGCUUGAUUAUGCUUUUGUUUAGUAAAGUUGACUAAACUAUAUUCCAUUUAACUUUCUGGUGCAGAAAUUGAGGGGACAGUAAAGGCAACAGAGAUGAUUGUGCAACAAAAUUGGGCUAUUUGUUGGGAUGAAAUAUUCUUAAGGUUAAGGUAUUGCUGUGCUUGGAUUUCUUUUACUAACUACGCAUUUGGGUAAAACAAAAAAUAUCAUCAAAAGAAUUGAUUAUGGGUACAGAAGAAUUGAGCCCUUUGCCUGGUGUGAUUGGGCAGGGAAUGUUUCUUUAUGAUGGUCAUAGUUCAUAAAAACAGAUGUACUCUCUAUUUUGAAGAUGUUUCCCUUGAAGAUGUUUCCCUUGAUUGUGCUAAUCUAAGUGUUUCAUGCAAGUAGGAAUCUUUGAUCAAUUUGACUUCACAGUGUUUCUUUUAGACCUUGAGAGUUUCAUGAGGGGAAAUUGUGCUUGCACUCUCCAUCUCACCCAAUGUAUGAAUUGCCUGCUUGUCCAAUGAGGAUCAGUACCUAACCUAAAACGCUAGUUGCUACUGGUUUGUAUGUGAGACUUAAAUGGUUAAGUUAGGAAGAAAAGAUUAUUGGACACAGAUUUUACUUCACUGACAUUUUAAAGACAAAGUUGCUAUCAGAUUGUAAAACAAAAGGAUAAUAUUUGGCAUCACUGGAUCCACCAUUCCAAAUAGCUAUAUUAUUAUAGAGGGAAUAGAAUUCACAAUCCGUUAAGGGAUUAGUGAAUCAGGAAAACUUUGAUCGCAGUUUCUACUUUUGUGCUGGAGAUAUGCUGUCGAUUUUCAUAUUCAGAUUUCAAAGUUGUCAGACUUCUAUCAUCACCUUUAGAAAGUAAAAGUUGGCAUGUCCUAUUUUGUUGAUCAAUAUAAAGCAUCCUACACGAAUCCAACUUUGGUGGUUACAGUUGCCAUGAAAAGCUUGGAUAUGCUGAUGCAAGAGAAAAGUUGGCAUGAUAUAUCAGCCUCUAAUAAUAACAUUUUAUUUCGAGGUUAUAACUCAUGCAACAUUAAUAUCUAAAAUUUUGCUCUUCUGUACAAUCAGUGGAACAGAGGAUUUCACUUUUUCUCUUCUUCAGAUGUCUGCUUUUGCUUUGUUUCUGUUUCUGAUAACACACUCUGCUCGUAGAUGACUUGAGAAAGCAAACCCACCAAGAUCGCUCCAAGAACUGCACUCUUUGUCCAGUCAGAAGGUGAAGAGAUUAAUGCAUUUGUAAUCCCAACUACUACAAGACCGAUAAGUGCAAGGUAGAUAUUCCUUCUAGUCUUUGACUCAGCAUUUUCUCUACUGAGUUGCUUAAUCUUCUCCGUUUCCUCCUUAGCUUUUGCUUUAUCCACUGAUUGUUUUUGCCCUAAGUUCUUGAAGAAAAGCCCUUCAUUUCUCUCUUCCUCCAUUUGGCCUUCAAAGUCCACCAACUUCUUCUCGUUCUCCUCGAUCUCCUGUUUGUUUAACUCUAUUGAUUCUUCAAAAGCUUGCAUCCGGCUCUCUAUAUUUUCCAUUAUCUGUUCCACAAAGAAAGUAAAAAAAACAAAUCAAGAAGUGUGUAAUUGAGAGAUGAAAAAUAAACUCCACUUUCUUUAUGAUUUGGUUUUGCAGUUGAGUAGAGACCCUUGAACCAGCUUCAUCGAGCUCUUUGAGGGCAUUUUCACCAAUCUGGUCAAUCUCGGCAUUGGCAUCUUCAGCAAACUGGGACAAAUAAGCAGAUCUUUCGUCUAAGUAGUCGGUAAGACGAACUUUCUG